AUGAACAAAGCUAGUGGAGGUGAUGGAAUUCCAGUGGAGCUAUUUCAAAUCCUGAACGAUGAUGCUGUGAAAGUGCUGCACUCAAUAUGCCAGCAAAUUUGGAAAACUCAGCAGUGGCCACAGGACUGGAAAAUGUCAGUUUUCAUUCCAAUCCCAAAGAAAGGCAAUGCAAAAGAAUGCUCAAACUACCACACAAUUGCACUCAUCUCACAUGCUAGUAAAGUAAUGCUCAAAAUUCUCCAAGCCAGGCUUCAGCAAUACGUGAACCAUGAACUUCCUGAUGUUCAAGCUGGUUUUAGAAAAGGCAGAGGAACCAGAGAUCAAAUUGCCAACAUCCACUGGAUCAUGGAAAAAGCAAGAGAGUUCCAGAAAAACAUCUAUUUCUGCUUUAUUGACUAUGCCAAAGCCUUUGACUGUGUGGAUCACAAUAAACCGUGGAAAAUUUUGAAAGAGAUGGGAAUACCAAACCACCUGACCUGCCUCUUGAGAAAUCUGUAUGCAGGUCAGGAAGCAACAGUUAGAACUGGACAUGGAACAACAGACUGGUUCCAAAUAGGAAAAGGAGUGCGUCAAGGCUGUAUAUUGUCAUCCUGCUUAUUUAACUUAUAUGCAGAGUACAUCAUGAGAAACACUGGGUUGGAAGAAGCACAAGCUGGAAUCAAGAUUGCUGGGAGAAAUAUCAAUAACCUCAGAUAUGCAGAUGACACCACCCUUAUGGCAAAAAGUGAAGAGGAACUAAAAAGCCUCUUGAUGAAAGUGAAAGAGGAGAGUGAAAAAGUUGGCUUAAAGCUCAACAUUCAGAAAAUGAAGAUCAUGGCAUCCAGUCCCAUCACUUCAUGGGAAAUAGAUGGGGAAACAGUGGAAACAGGGUCAGACUUUAUUUUUUGGGGCUCCAAAAUCACUGCAGAUGGUGACUGCAGCCAUGAAAUUAAAAGACACUUACUCAUUGGAAGAAAAGUUAUGACCAACCUAGAUAGCAUAUUCAAAAGCAGAGACAUUACUUUGGCAACUAAGGUCCGUCUAGUCAAGGCUCUGGUUUCUCCUGUGGUCAUGUAUGGAUGUGAGAGUUGGACUGUGAAGAAGGCUGAGCACUGA
rnacentral:lncRNA from 1 species